AGACCCCUGCCCUAACCCAUCAUCUGAUUUAUGUGUCAGGUGAAUCUAGUUACUGUGGGAUAUUCAGCAAACUAAAAUAUUUCUCUAUGGCUUCAUGAAAUAUGUUAAUCAAUCCAGUGACAGAGCAUCUUUAUUAUUAAUCUUCCAAUCAAAGCUUGUAAUACAACAGAAAUUAAACGCCACGGAUUUUCUGCUAUCAAUGCCACUCAUCUCUACUGCAAAAAGAUGGACAAAUCAUUCAUCCUCUUCUCUUGCCUUCCUGUUUCUUUCCAAGGUUCUGCUUCAUUUUUAUUCCUCAGGAGUCCGUUUUCUUUUGCAUUGGAAGGCAAGACUAAAAGCUAAGAAAUUCCUUCCAAUAGUGAAUCAAAGAGAAAACCAUAACUCAUCAAAAGCCCUGAUCCAGAAAAACAUUUGGGUCUCUAUCUGCCCCUCUCCAAGGUGCAGUAAGAACAUCACCAUCCUUUCAUAUCAACAGAAGGGAAGCCUGAAAUACUGAAGAUAACCUUGAGGCAAAUCUACUUGCACUCUGGUUCAGCAUCAGUCCUAACAGGCCAUGAAAAUUUCCUGGGAUGACAGAGGCAUUUCUGUUGUUUAAACCUGGCCACCCUGCAUUUGGCGGGACUUCAGUAGGACUCAUGGGUCUGCUAAAAUUGGGUGAGGGAUAUUACAGAAUUUGUGCAAGAAGAUCUAAAAAUUAAAAAAAAUUAAAACUGGGAAGCCAUUUUUUAAAAAAAAUUAUUUGGGGACGGGGACAUACCUGUUCAAAAAUUCUCAGUUCAAAGUGCCAUUAUUUCUAAUAACCAAGUCUAAACUGAUGAGUUUGUACAAUUAAUUAUAAGGUCAAAGUCGUCUUAACUGAUGUUUGUGUAGUUUGCAAAUGCUUCUAAAGACAGAGCCAACUUGGUCUAAUGUUUAAGGCUCUAGGCUAGAAAGUGGGAGACUGUGAGUUCCAGUUCCACUUUAGCCAUGAAAAUUAACUGGAUGAUCUUAGGCCAGUCACUCUCUCUAGGGUUGUUGUUGUGGGGAAAAUAGUUUGUUGGAUACGUUCACUGCCUUGAGUUAUUUGUAUAAAUAAUAAAGGCGGUAAAUAAUAAUAUAUCACUCUAUCAAAGACAGAUUUAAAUGCUGGCAACUAAUCGAUUACAAACUGUUCAAUGGAUUAACAACUUUAAUUAAUAUUAAAACGCCGGGCGAUCCAGGCAGAAAUAAAAUGAAUUCUUGUAAUUUAGGCUGGCAAAAUUGGGUCAAGUCUAAAUCCUUGGGACUGCAGCUCAGCUCUGCAGAACUUCGCCGACUUCCCUGAGAUCCCCGUAAGUGCGGCUGCACAGGCCAGUAGGCCCUGCAGCCGCUCAGCGCUUGUUUUGCAAAAUGGCCAACUUGGCAGAAGUCAGCUCAAGACCUCCUGAGCAGGGACGGCCACCCGCCUCGGUCUUUGUCCCGCGUCCCUGUUUCCCUCCCCCGCCUGUGUCCGGAAUUCUGCCCCCGAGACGCUGAAGAAGCAGCCACCUCCGAGAUUAGCGAAGUGCUCGCUCGCUCGCUGCAAGUGCCUUCGUUGGGCGGAAGGGAGCGAGGGCAACUCCUCGGCCUUGUUUACCAAGUAAGGGUGGAAUCUAAAGGGCGCUCUCUCGACAAUCAGUGAAGCCUCAUCUCGGGUUACCGAGCUGAACUCUCUAAUGAUCUGGCAGCAGAUAACUGCAGGUUAAAAGCACCUGAGAUAAACGUCUUCCAGCGGCUUGGUGGAAGGAAGACUUUGGCGUCUUAGCCUUGGGCCUUGGAGCAGAUUUCAUUGGCUGUUCCAAGGUGAAAGGAGCAGGGAGGGGAAUCUUUCGCGGCCCGGCGAGUAAAAACUCUUGCCAAGAGCCACAAAAGGUGGCGCUCCGCGAUCCUUCCAGUCAGAUUGGCACCUACUCCGAGAUUAGCAGCUCAUCAACUCCCUGGUGUCCUUAGCAAACAGAGUCUUCCUUGCUGGGGAAAUAAAGUUUGCCUUGUAAUGCGGAUGUGAUCCUGCAGAGAAAAGGGAGGGAGUUUCCGGGCUUUGCCUGAAGCACAGCUGUCUUCUUUCCUUCUGCUACCAGAGCUAUAGAAUGGAUGGAGACUGAGUGUGAGAUACAGAAGACUUUUUCUACUUCCAAGUCUAGUCUAUAGCUCUGGAAUUUUCUGAUGGUCUCCAAUUCAAAUUGGAGUUGAAGUCCACAAGUCAUAAAAGGGCCAAGUUUGAAGACCCUUGCUCUAGCUUAUAUCAGCUGAGGAGAGACAGCUCACGGAUCAAGGCAAAUAUACAUGUCCCGGAAUAAUGUUGCAGGAUCCAGUCUGGGUUAGUCACGGGGAGGUUUUGGUUUUCAAGCUUUCUGACUCCAUGCUUAAGACAGCUCAGCCUAAUUUCUUUUCCGUGCCACCAUUUCUAUUAUAUACUGUUUUCUACAUCUUCAGAAUCUGUCUCACUACUUGCUAUCAGUCCAGAUAUCUUACAUGAAUGUCAUUACUUGAAAUCAUCUUGGCUAUGGAAUUACCCAGGAAAAUAGAGAAAUAUGGUCAGAUUCCAUCAGGUAACAUAUUUUAUUCUGAGUGAAAAUGAAAGCAAUUGGCAUUUGCUUUUCCCAGCAUGAAUGGGAGGGGUAAAAGGAGCAGAAGAAUCUAAAAAAUUGGAGGUUAUAGUAAUCACCAUCCAAACAACCUAGUUAGCCACACUUGAAAUCUUGAUAGCAAUUUUUUAAGCUGGCUUCAUUUUGAGCUGGUUUCAGCACAGAAGAUAAGCUUCUUAAGGCUGCUGUGCAGAAGAGCACUCCGAUCUAAUUGUGACUUUUGGGCCAAUACUGUGAUACUCUGCAGAACUAGCUGAGCUUUAGGGACUGCCAUCUUCAAGCAAUGGAAGGAAAUAUAAUUAGACAGGUAUAAGAGCAGGCCUAUUCUCCCUCUCUUGUGUGUGUGUGUGUGUGUGGAUGGGGAGUAGCAUUCAGAGGUGUAGUUUUAGAUGGAGGUAUCAGGGAUCUUUUCAGUCUUCAACCCUCCCUGAUUGUUGUUUCUCUUUCCCUCAUGACACCUUCUUUGAGGAUUUUCCUACCAGUGCAAUUCCUUAUGUCAGAAUGGGCCAAUCUCAGAGACUGACAGGGAGAUCCCGGAGGAAUCUAACACCAUAUUCCACUCUCUGCAUUUAUCAUAUACAUCAAAUAGGCAAGUCAAUUCUGUGAAAAGGAAUUAUUCAACCUCCAUAACAUAAGGAUAGUGGAAGUUAGCUUUAUGUCCUCCAGUUGUGUCAGAUGAUGGACCCCAUCGCCUCAAUGGUCGGAGAUUAAAAGAAUUGUUAUUUGAUAUAUAUGAGCCAAUGGAGAAAGUGUUUAUCUCAGUUUAGCAUCGUCUUGAUAGAACAUCUCAAAGAAGUAGUGCAAGAUCAGAAGAUGUGAACAGAGCUGGCCCAUCGAAUUGCCAAGAGUUGGACACAUCUGAAUAGAUAACAUCAUCCUCAUCACCAACACCAUCAUCCUCAUCACCUUCUUCUUCUUCUUCAUCAUCAUCAACAUCAUCAUCACUGUCAUCAUCAGAAGCUCAGUGCUUUCUAAUAAGAAAAACAUGUUUGCUUUAUGCCAAAUUAUUUACAAUAAAAAUAAAUUCAUUGUUCUAACUGUAAAAAUGGAUCUCAGUAUAGUAAGUGUAGUUCAGGCUAGAUUGUUUUAAGUUUUAAUGUCAUGAGCAUUCAGCAUCUCUAUAGAUGCAUUAUUUCUAUAAAAUGAGGAAUCUUUGCCUGAGCCUAAAAGGGGAGGGGGAGCAAAAAUGCAUAUACUGAGUGGAGAAUUCAUUUGUGUAUAAUGGAUCAACCAAUUUUAAACUAGGUGAACUCACAACUAAAAGUGGUGCAAAAGGUCCUAAAACUGGAUAAAGAGAACCCAAUUAAACAAACGAGUCACAAACAUUAUAUUUUGUUUUAUUUAUUCACUGAAGAAAAUAUUUCAAAGCUACUUUCUGGGCCUGUAAGUUGUCAUUUAUUAAUUGGAGUGAUCUGAACUCUCUGUGCAUUUAGUUUCUUAAUCAUCAUAUAUUUUCUCAUAUUUGCUGCCAGUGGCGUGAAUACAGUCAAGGCAAGGAUGGUAUCUGCCUUGAGACCUGGAGGCUGCCAGUCUUUAAAAACACACACACAAAUUUGGCUUUGGUUGGGGCAAAUUAGUGCAUAUCCAAAAAGGAACCUAGGUAUUUGCUUGGAGCCGCAGGAUGGGUAAAGGAGGAGAAAUAGGUGGGAUCUGGCUACUAGGCAGCACAGCAGAAAACCUCAGUGUGGCCUGACUUAGGUAUUAACUAGUACAGGGGUCUUCAACCUUGGCUUUGCUGGCUGAGGAAUUCUGGGAGUUGAAGUCCACAGGUCUUAAAGUUGCCAAGGUUGUGGGGACCCCUGAACUAGUAGAUAGCA